AUGAUGGAUAACUGUAGCACCGAGAUGUCAUGGAAGGAAGGGCUGGACACAGGACUGUUACAGGAGCGAAUUGGAAUACAGAAGGAACAGACGUUGGAUUGGAUUGAAAUAAAAAACAUGUUGUUGGACAGUUGGAAAAAACAGGGAAAACAUGGGUUUCUAUAUGAAGAGAACAUCAUGCCAACCAUGGAUAAGCCUAAAGUAGAGAAAGAGCCUCAAAGAAAAGACCUUCAAGCAAAGUUUUAUGAGGACAAUGAGAAUAACAGAAGAUGGAUGGAAACCUUUCAACUUUUGAAGGCUAUGGAAAUGAAAGAAUGGAUGGACAGCACAAAGCAAGAACUGAGAAGAGAGAUGGAGGAGAGGGACAGAGCUAGACUGACAGAGGAGAAUCUUAACCUGAAAAAAGAUGUUCUUGCCACACAGGAGAUCCCACAAGAACAUAUUUUUGCCAUUGCAAUUAUUUUUGCGAUUGCAUCGUCUAAGACCAUAAAUGAAGACUUGACUCAGAGGGUGAAAACACUGGAGACAGAGAACCUACAUCUGAAACAAGAAAUGGAGAAUUGGAGGGCAAGGGAUCUCCAAGAGAGAGACAUAGAGAAACAAACCCGAAUGGUGGAGAUGGAAAAGAUGAUUAAAAUGAUGGAAUAUUACAGAGAGAGACAUGAAAAAGAGAUGGCCCGAAUGGUCAAUGUUCAAAUGAAAGAGGAAAGAAGACAAGAGGAGGUCAACUUGGAUGUCAAAGAUAAAAAGAAUGUGUUGGAAGACAAGCAAAAAAUUGAAGAUGACAGAAAAAGCACAGAAGAUGUGCAACAAGAGAGAGCUCAAAAGAAAACAAACAGAGAAAAUGAGAAACCAGUGAGGGAAGACCACAACUGGGUGGAGGAGGAAAGUAAUGUUAAAGACAUGGGACAUGCAGAUGAAAAGACAGAAGGUGAAAGUAAGGUAUUGGAGACGGGGAAAGCAGGUGAUCAGACUGUGGAAAAGGAGUUUCUGAAAGUCCAAGUACAGAUAAAGCCCUCUUCUAAGGAAGUUGUAGACUGGACAGACGUCAAGGAAGCGGAGAUUAAAGUGGAGAUCCACAAUGAUGUGUGUGAGGACCAUCAGGACCUUACUGUGACCAAAAAUGAAGACAGUGUCACCUUGAAGAACUCUAAGACAAACUCUGCAUACUUUCCUCUCACAGUUUCCUCUCUUGAUGAAGCCACAGGAGCAACAAACACUGGGGUUGAGACUAAAGAGCUGAUCCAAAAUGAUGUGGCUGAGUACCAACAGGACAUUACUGUGACUGAAUCUAUUUUUAGUGACCCCAAAAAUGAGGAUGAUGAUAUUUCGCUUAAGGACACUAAGACCAACUCUGCAUGCUUCCAGGAGAUUACAGUUGGCCAACAAACACUGGAAGAGAGAAAUGAGAAGGACAAAGGGAAAAAUAGACUAGAAGAAGAGAGAAAGAAGAUGGAGGAGCAAGAAAAGAAAUGGGUGGAAGAGGAAAUAAGAAAGGGAGAGAUGAUCAUAAUGGAGGAGCAAAUGAAGAGAGAGGAAGAGAAAAGAAGGGUGGAGGACGAAAGAAAGGAAGAGGCAGUGAGGUUGGAGAUGAACAGAGAGAGAAUGGAGGAAGAGAAAAAGAUGAUGGAUGCAAACAAUGAAGAUAAUCUGUUAAGGAGUCUGGAGGAGGAGAGAAUGAGAGCUCUGGAAUUAGAAAAGAGGAACAGAGUGACAGACGAACAGCUAACAGACACCUGGACAGAAGCAGUGAAUGUAGAAGUGAAAUACUCAAAUAAUGAGGACUGGAUAGACUCUGAACAUGAUAAUGAAUGCAAGAUCCAGACAGAUGAAAAGCGGCAGGACCUUGAGAGUAAGUUAGAGGAAAGCAUUGAUAAAGAACUGAGCCAUGGAGAGCACAGUGACAUAGACAAUAAACUGGCAGAGAAAGAGGUUGAGAGAAGCCCAACUUCUAUGGCAGAGCAGUCUGGAAAAUCAUCAGUCAAGGAUGAAGGUAAAUGCAUGGACUGUGUAGUCAAA
rnacentral:lncRNA from 1 species